CGGGAGGCAGCAGUGGGGAAUAUUGCACAAUGGGCGCAAGCCUGAUGCAGCCAUGCCGCGUGUGUGAAGAAGGCCUUCGGGUUGUAAAGCACUUUCAGUCGUGAGGAAGGUAGUGUAGUUAAUAGCUGCAUUAUUUGACGUUAGCGACAGAAGAAGCACCGGCUAACUCCGUGCCAGCAGCCGCGGUAAUACGGAGGGUGCGAGCGUUAAUCGGAAUUACUGGGCGUAAAGCGCAUGCAGGUGGUUUGUUAAGUCAGAUGUGAAAGCCCGGGGCUCAACCUCGGAAUUGCAUUUGAAACUGGCAGACUAGAGUACUGUAGAGGGGGGUAGAAUUUCAGGUGUAGCGGUGAAAUGCGUAGAGAUCUGAAGGAAUACCGGUGGCGAAGGCGGCCCCCUGGACAGAUACUGACACUCAGAUGCGAAAGCGUGGGGAGCAAACAGGAUUAGAUACCCUGGUAGUCCACGCCGUAAACGAUGUCUACUUGGA
rnacentral:rRNA from 1 species